UUCAAAUGUUGAUGGAAACAAAAGGAGAAAACUCAUACUGUUUCCUGUGACUGCAUUUGUAACUUCAACAAUUAUUGUAUCGGCAUUAAGAAAUGCAGAAGAAAAAAAGGUAAGUACAUCUUUUGAUACAUGGCUGUCGUCCAAAUGUCCGAACGUAUACCAUUAUGAUCAAUGCCCUUUGUAAAGACAGCUCUUUUGAUGAAGCUAUGACCUUGCUUUCAAAAAUGGAUGACAAUGAUUGCCCCCCCUGAUGCUGUAACUUUUGAAACAAUUAUUGGUGCUCUCCAACAAAGAAAUGAGACUGAGAAGGCAGAGAAACUUCGUCUAGUAAAUGAUGAAACGAGGUCUGUCGAUAGUGCACUAUAGCGGUGCUAUAGCAGCGUAGUGGCCCCUGGCUGCUAUAUGCACUGCCAUGGCGUCCCAAAAUCCUGAGAAUGGCCUCCAAUAUUCGCAUUAGAGGCCAUUUUAUGGAGGUAAUUUUGGGUAAAAACUCCUACCUUGUGAAUACUACACUAACCCCAUCCGACCCUCCAACCACCAUUGUGUGACGAGACCCUUUGGUGACUCUCCGCAACCCAUCUACCAGCUUCUUUUGCUCCUCUCUUGUUCUCACUCUCAGUUUUUUCUUGUAAUAUUGUUCUCAUUGUUCUCUUAUUCUCAUCAAUCUCUGCUUUCUACUCUUGAGUUCUUUUUUUCCUUUCUAUUUUCUCUUGUUCUCUUUGUUUGAUCAGUCUACAUUCUCUGUUUAUAGUCUCUCAGGUCUUUUUUUCUUGUCAUCUAUUUCCCAAAGACACAAACUGAUUCACUCCUCUUAUCUCUCCUUGGUUAGACAUGGUACCCUUUGUUACUAUGUACUUGUACAUUUGCUCAAGAGCUAAGAUCUGUAACUUUAUUGUUAAUUAUGAAGUUGUCAAGAUUUUAGUUUUUAUGUUUUUUUAGUAUUCAUAUGUAUUUAGUAUGAAUUAUAUAAAUUGUAUAAAAAUAUUCAAAAUAACAGUCCGUUAUACCACUAUAUCGUUUUUGGGGUCAGCUGCUACACGCCGCUAUCCAAGAUUGAAAACUAUGUUCCUUUUUAUUGUAUUCCUACUCUGCAUUUUAAACUCUUUGCUCAUGCGUUAAUUCUUUGCUCUCAGGUCUUUCUGCAAUCCAACUGGUUGUGAAAUUGUGUUUUUUUCUGAAAUUUUAUCAUUUAAAUGGUAACCCUUUCAACAAUGACAAAUCCUGGCAGGUUGAUGCAUGAACAGUGAGGGAAUCCGUGACUGCUGAACUUGGUGUACUCAUUCUAUUGCAUACAGCAAGCAAUGCAAGUUAAGAUUUGUAUGUGGUAGUCCAGACUGUGAAUGCUGUAGCAAUCAAUUUAUGCUAGAAGAAUGCAGAUUUUCAAUAUUUCUACACGAUACAGUUGGUUGGAGUUAACAGCGGUUUACAUUGUGCUGUUUUCUUCCCUGCCAGUGCUGGCUUUUAGUCUGCUUGACCUCUCUACCCUGCAUUCUUCCUUUCCUAUAAGCCGGCUUACUAUUCUGAGCAAGUUUCAGUAUUUUACACUUAUGAGCUAAAUCCCGGUAAUUUUUGUAUUCUCUGGAGAAUUGCACUUCCCUUGACCAAGUAAAAACUAGAUUACUUGAUUUCUGGCCCUUGGAGCAUGUGAAGAAUCAGUGCAUAGCCUUGUGGACUUUACCAGAUACAUGUGAGUAGGGGUUUUAUGGUUUAAUAUGCUUGCCACAAUGAUUGAUGGAGCAAUAUCGGAGGUAUAAAAAAGAACUACUCGUGGUAUUCAUUGAUUUAGAAGGACGAAGGAAGAAGUUCGUACUGCCUAUAUUUUAGAAAUCAAAGAUAUCUUUUUUACCUCGGUCUCAAUGUGCUUAUUAAGCAUAUCUAGGGCUUGUAUGAAGAAGCUCCAAUUAAGAGAAUAGAUCAGAUGGAGGGUAGUCAUAUCAAUAAUCCUACGAUUGUUAUGUGUAAAUAGAGAGAAAGAAAAUAGAAAAAAUACAAUGGAAAUAUUAAAGUUUUACUAUUUAUUUGAGAAGAGAAAUAAGUUUUUUUGUUGAUGUUGGAUUUCACAUGUAAAAAUAUUUCUCUAUUUACUUGCCCUGAAACGGGAGGGAAAUAAUGUUGCAUUACAUUA